rnacentral:rRNA from 1 species
UACGUAGGUGGCAAGCGUUGUCCGGAAUUAUUGGGCGUAAAGCGCGCGCAGGUGGUUUCUUAAGUCUGAUGUGAAAGCCCACGGCUCAACCGUGGAGGGUCAUUGGAAACUGGGGAACUUGAGUGCAGGAGAGAAGAGUGGAAUUCCACGUGUAGCGGUGAAAUGCGUAGAGAUGUGGAGGAACACCAGUGGCGAAGGCGACUCUUUGGCCUGUAACUGACACUGAGGCGCGAAAGCGUGGGGAGCAAACAGGAUUAGAUACC